UACGAAGGGGGCUAGCGUUGUUCGGAAUUACUGGGCGUAAAGCGCGCGCAGGCGGCUAUCCAAGUCAGUGGUGAAAUCUCGGAGCUUAACUCCGAAACUGCAUUCGAUACUGCCGUGCUUGAGGACUGGAGAGGAGACUGGAAUUUACGGUGUAGCGGUGAAAUGCGUAGAUAUCGUAAGGAAGACCAGUGGCGAAGGCGGGUCUCUGGACAGUUCCUGACGCUGAGGCACGAAGGUCAGGGGAGCAAACGGG
rnacentral:rRNA from 1 species